CAUCGUCAGCUUAUUUAGUAUUAGUAUUAGCUAUGAUGUGAUUAUAUAAUCCUUGUGGUCAUUGAAAUUAUACUUGCUUAUGCUAUUCGCGCUGAAUAUUGUCGGCGUGCACUUCUCCUCUAGUAGAACGUCGCGACCCGUUGAUCGUUCAUUUAUGGCCCGAUUGGGUAGAUUUUGGUAUUUUAUUAUACCGAAAACCAUUGGUGUUUCCUAAUGAACUGUUUGACGGUAAUCAUAUGGUAUUGAGCCGCAAUUUAUUUGCGUUAGGCAUACCCCAAGUAAGGUUUUAUUUUGACAGUACGGACUUUGUGCCGUCGUUAAAACUAAUCUACUGUUAGUGGUAAUGUCCUUUAACUGGCUUAACUACCGGUCAGCGAUGCUACUGCUUUGGGUACUUACAGGACCCGUCUUGAAACACGGACCAAGGAGUCUAACAUGUACGCAAGUCAUUGGGAUUUUUUUAAAAAACAAACCUAAAGGCGUAAUGAAAGUAAAGAUUGUUCUUGUAACAAUUAAGGGAAGAUGGGUUAUGUUACGAUAUAACCUCGCACUCCCGGGGCGUCUUAUUCUCAUUGAGACAAGGCG
rnacentral:rRNA from 1 species